rnacentral:rRNA from 1 species
CGGGUGAGUAACACCGUGGGUGAUCUGCCCUGCACUUCGGGAUAAGCUUGGGAAACUGGGUCUAAUACCGGAUAGGACUACGGACUGCAUGGUCUGUGGUGGAAAGCUUUUGCGGUGUGGGAUGGGCCCGCGGCCUAUCAGCUUGUUGGUGGGGUGAUGGCCUACCAAGGCGACGACGGGUAGCCGGCCUGAGAGGGUGUCCGGCCACACUGGGACUGAGAUACGGCCCAG